ACCUCUUAACAAAAGAUAUCUUGGGUCUCUCAUCUCUGAAAAAAGCACCGAAAAGUGAUAAAUAAAGUGAAAAGUGGAAAACACUGAAACAUAUAAACUUUUAACGCACCCUGUGCCCCCUGGGAUUUCGAGGGGCAUGCCUGUGUGAGAGUGAUUA
rnacentral:rRNA from 1 species